rnacentral:rRNA from 1 species
UACGUAGGGUGCAAGCGUUGUCCGGAAUUACUGGGCGUAAAGGGCUCGUAGGCGGCCCACUAAGUCAGACGUGAAAUCCCUCGGCUUAACCGGGGAACGGCGUCUGAUACUGGAGGGCUUGAGUUCGGGAGAGGGAUGCGGAAUUCCAGGUGUAGCGGUGAAAUGCGCAGAUAUCAGGAGGAACACCGGUGGCGAAGGCGGAUCUCUGGGCCUGUCCUGACGCUGAGGCGCGAAAGCUAGGGGAGCGAACAGG